AGCAUUUGUUGUCAAUUGUUGUCGGAACAAAUUGCCAGAGUUUUGAAAAGAGGUGUGAAAGGCAUCUGAAUGAUGAAGCCUUAGAUAGACAGUUUGACACCAAUAAAUUUGUUGCAGAGUAGCAAAAGUCAAGGAUAUCUAUAUCAGAAUCGCAUCCAUAGCUCAAGCAGAAAGAAAAAAAAACAAAGCUUGGGUGUGAAAAUGCAAUCAUGACAGAUGCGAUAUUAGAAUUUUACCUUCUAACCGAUUCAAUGAACUUCGCAAGAAUGACAGACUCAAUGUGCGACUCUGCAAGUGUGAGCAGAUGAUUCAAACACCUAUUCCACGCACCAAAACCUCCAAGCGUCUUGCUAUGCUUCUGAAGUCGAGCAGCUACACUAUGUAGCAACCGAGAUGUCCGGUACUGGGGAGAAAGUUUGUCCGAUCAGUACAGGAAGUGAACAUGAGAGAACUCUCAGUAACUAUGAAUAAUGGACUUACCCUGAAUGCAUCCAGCUGGAAAUUAGGAUCCCGCAGAUGAUCUUCCCCUUCCCAUCGGGCAGUGACAGGAUUAGGCUGGGAUAGGUAGGUACCCAUGGAGUCUCUCAAGUAAUUCCAGGUU
rnacentral:lncRNA from 1 species